rnacentral:rRNA from 1 species
CUCCUACGGGAGGCAGCAGUGGGGAAUCUUAGACAAUGGGCGCAAGCCUGAUCUAGCGAUGCCGCGUGAGUGAUGAAGGCCCUAGGGUCGUAAAGCUCUUUCGCCAGGGAUGAUAAUGACAGUACCUGGUAAAGAAACCCCGGCUAACUCCGUGCCAGCAGCCGCGGUAAUACGGAGGGGGUUAGCGUUGUUCGGAAUUACUGGGCGUAAAGCGUACGUAGGCGGAUCAGAAAGUUAGGGGUGAAAUCCCGAGGCUCAACCUCGGAACUGCCUCUAAAACUCCUGGUCUUGAGUUCGAGAGAGGUGAGUGGAAUUCCAAGUGUAGAGGUGAAAUUCGUAGAUAUUUGGAGGAACACCAGUGGCGAAGGCGGCUCACUGGCUCGAUACUGACGCUGAGGUACGAAAGUGUGGGGAGCAAACAGGAUUAGAUACCCUGGUAGUCCACACCGUAAACGAUGAAUGCCAGACGUCAGCAGGCAUGCCUGUUGGUGUCACACCUAACGGAUUAAGCAUUCCGCCUGGGGAGUACGGUCGCAAGAUUAAAACUCAAAGGAAUUGACGG